rnacentral:rRNA from 1 species
GAUGAACGCUGGCGGCGUGCCUAACACAUGCAAGUCGAGCGAACAGAUAAGGAGCUUGUUCCUUUGACGUUAGCGGCGGACGGGUGAGUAACACGUGGGUCACCUACCUAUAAGACUGGAAUAACUCCGGGAAACCGGGGCUAAUGCCGGAUAACAUGUUGAACCGCAUGGUUCUACAGUGAAAGGCGGCUUUGCUGUCACUUAUAGAUGGACCCGCGCCGUAUUAGCUAGUUGGUGAGGUAACGGCUCACCAAGGCAACGAUACGUAGCCGACCUGAGAGGGUGAUCGGCCACACUGGAACUGAGACACGGUCCAGACUCCUACGGGAGGCAGCAGUAGGGAAUAUUCCGCAAUGGGCGAAAGCCUGACGGAGCAACGCCGCGUGAGUGAUGAAGGUCUUCGGAUCGUAAAGCCCUGUUAUUAGGUAAGAACAACUGCGUGAGUAAAUGUGGGCGUCUUGACGGUACCUAAACAGAAAGCCACGGCUAACUACGUG